rnacentral:miRNA from 1 species
AGUUGUGAAUGACUUAGCUACU